rnacentral:ribozyme from 1 species
UUUUUUUUUUUUUUUUUUUUUUUUUUUUUUUUUUUUUUUUUUUUUA